AGCAUUAAGAUAGUGGCGAACGGGUGAGUAACGCGUAAGUAACCUACCUCUAAGUGGGGGAUAGCUUCGGGAAACUGAAGGUAAUACCGCAUGUGGUGGGCCGACAUAUGUUGGUUCACUAAAGCCGUAAGGCGCUUGGUGAGGGGCUUGCGUCCGAUUAGCUAGUUGGUGGGGUAAUGGCCUACCAAGGCUUCGAUCGGUAGCUGGUCUGAGAGGAUGAUCAGCCACACUGGGACUGAGACACGGCCCAGACUCCUACGGGAGGCAGCAGCAAGGAAUCUUGGGCAAUGGGCGAAAGCCUGACCCAGCAACGCCGCGUGAGGGAUGAAGGCUUUCGGGUUGUAAACCUCUUUUCAUAGGGAAGAAUAAUGACGGUACCUGUGGAAUAAGCUUCGGCUAACUACGUGCCAGCAGCCGCGGUAAUACGUAGGAAGCAAGCGUUAUCCGGAUUUAUUGGGCGUAAAGUGAGCGUAGGUGGUCUUUCAAGUUGGAUGUGAAAAUUUCCCGGCUUAACCGGGACGAGUCAUUCAAUACUGUUUGGACUAGAGUUACAGCA
rnacentral:rRNA from 1 species